rnacentral:rRNA from 1 species
UGGGGAAUUUUGGACAAUGGACGCAAGUCUGAUCCAGCCAUGCCGCGUGCGGGAAGAAGGCCUUCGGGUUGUAAACCGCUUUUGUCAGGGAAGAAACGAGUUUCUCUAAUACAGAGACUUAAUGACGGUACCUGAAGAAUAAGCACCGGCUAACUACGUGCCAGCAGCCGCGGUAAUACGUAGGGUGCAAGCGUUAAUCGGAAUUACUGGGCGUAAAGCGUGCGCAGGCGGUUAUGCAAGACAGAGGUGAAAUCCCCGGGCUCAACCUGGGAACUGCCUUUGUGACUGCAUAGCUAGAGUACGGCAGAGGGGGAUGGAAUUCCGCGUGUAGCAGUGAAAUGCGUAGAUAUGCGGAGGAACACCGAUGGCGAAGGCAAUCCCCUGGGCCUGUACUGACGCUCAUGCACGAAAGCGUGGGGAGCAAACAGGAUUAGAUACCCUGGUAGUCCACGCCCUAAACGAUGUCAACUGGUUGUUGGGAGGGUUUCUUCUCAGUAACGUAGCUAACGCGUGAAGUUGACCGCCUGGGGAGUACGGCCGCAAGGUUG